rnacentral:rRNA from 1 species
CUGCGAAUGGCUCAUUAAAUCAGUUAUCGUUUAUUUGAUAGUACCUUACUACUUGGAUACCUGUGGUAAUUCUAGAGCUAAUACAUGCUAAAAACCCCGACUUCGGAAGGGGUGUAUUUAUUAGAUAAAAAACCAAUGCCCUUCGGGGCUCCUUGGUGAUUCAUAAUAACUUCUCAGAUCGCAUGGCCUUGCGCCGGCGACGGUUCAUUCAAAUUUCUGCCCUAUCAACUUUCGAUGGUAAGGUAUUGGCUUACCAUGGUGGCAACGGGUAACGGGGAAUUAGGGUUCGAUUCCGGAGAGUUAGCCUGAGAAACGGCUAACACAUCCAAGGAAGGCAGCAGGCGCGCAAAUUACCCAAUCCCGAUACGGGGAGGUAGUGACAAUAAAUACUGAUACAGGGCUCUUUUGGGUCUUGUAAUUGGAAUGAGUACAAUUUAAACCUCUUAACGAGGAACAAUUGGAGGGCAAGUCUGGUGCCAGCAGCCGCGGUAAUUCCAGCUCCAAUAGCGUAUAUUAAAGUUGUUGCAGUUAAAAAGCUCGUAGUUGAACCUUUGGCCUGGCUGGCAGGUCCGCCUCACCGCGUGCACUUGUCCGGCCGGGCCUUUUCUUCUGGAGAACCGCAUGCCCUUCACUGGGUGUGUUGGGGACCAGGACUUUUACUUUGAAAAAAUUAGAGUGUUCAAAGCAGGCCUUUGCUCGAAUAUUACAGCAUGGAAUAAUAGAAUAGGACGUGCGGUUCUAUUUUGUUGGUUUCUAGGACCGCCGUAAUGAUUAAUAGGGACAGUCGGGGGCAUCAGUAUUCAAUUGUCAGAGGUGAAAUUCUUGGAUUUAUUGAAGACUAACUACUGCGAAAGCAUUUGCCAAGGAUGUUUUCAUUAAUCAGUGAACGAAAGUUAGGGGAUCGAAGACGAUCAGAUACCGUCGUAGUCUUAACCAUAAACUAUGCCGACUAGGGAUCGGGCGGUGUUAUUAUUUUGACUCGCUCGGCACCUUACGAGAAAUC